ACCGCGGUAGCCCAGUUGGUUAGGGCGUCGACAGUACUGAUGCCGAAGGUCACAGGUUCAAAUCCUGCCUGCGGUG